rnacentral:misc_RNA from 1 species
UUUCCGUUGGUGAACCUGCGGAAGGAUCAUUAUCGUACCAAAUGUGAGGGGCAUGCGCGGGCUGUCGCUGACCCAAAAGUCGUGCACGCCCGACUGUGUCCUCUUGCAUAAGAGUCCAUCUCACCCUUUGUGCACCACCGCGUCGGCACCCUUCGGGAUCAUCUCGGAGGGGGGCUCGCGUAUUCACUCAAACCCCCCUUUUAAAAGUGUAGAAUGGCCACAUUUAUGCAAUCAAUACAACUUUCAACAACGGAUCUCUUGGCUCUG